rnacentral:rRNA from 1 species
UGCCGCGUGUGUGAAGAAGGCCUGCGGGUUGUAAAGCACUUUCAGUGGGGGAAGGAACGGGGCCAAGGUUAAUACCCCUGGCUUCUGACGUUACCCACAGAAGAAGCACCGGCUAACUCCGUGCCAGCAGCCGCGGUAAUACGGAGGGGUGGCAAGCGUUAAUCGGAAUCACUGGGCGUAAAGCGCACGUAGGCGGCACGUUAAGUCAGCUGUGAAAGCCCUGGGCUCAACCUGGGAAUGGCAGUUGAUACUGACGCGCUCGAGUCUGAGAGAGGGGGGUGGAAUUCCAGGUGUAGCGGUGAAAUGCGUAGAUAUCUGGAGGAACACCGGUGGCGAAGGCGGCCCCCUGGCUCAUGACUGACGCUGAGGUGCGAAAGCGUGGGGAGCAAAACAGGAUUAGAUACCCUGGUAGUCCACGCGGUAAACGAUGUCGACUAGCCGUUCGGCC